rnacentral:rRNA from 1 species
GAUGAACGCUGGCGGCGUGCCUAAUACAUGCAAGUCGAGCGAACAGAUGAGGAGCUUGCUCCUCUGACGUUAGCGGCGGACGGGUGAGUAACACGUGGAUAACCUACCUAUAAGACUGGGAUAACUACGGGAAACCGGAGCUAAUACCGGAUAAUAUAUUGAACCGCAUGGUUCAAUAGUGAAAGACGGUUUUGCUGUCACUUAUAGAUGGAUCCGCGCCGCAUUAGCUAGUUGGUAAGGUAACGGCUUACCAAGGCAACGAUGCGUAGCCGACCUGAGAGGGUGAUCGGCCACACUGGAACUGAGACACGGUCCAGACUCCUACGGGAGGCAGCAGUAGGGAAUCUUCCGCAAUGGGCGAAAGCCUGACGGAGCAACGCCGCGUGAGUGGUGAAGGUCUUCGGAUCGUAAAACUCUGUUAUUAGGGAAGAACAAAUGUGUAAGUAACUAUGCACGUCUUGACGGUACCUAAUCAGAAAGCCACGGCUAACUACGUG